rnacentral:rRNA from 2 species
UCGAGCGGAACGAUGGAGCUUGCUCCAGGCGUCGAGCGGCGGACGGGUGAGUAAUGCAUAGGAAUCUGCCCGAUAGUGGGGGAUAACCUGGGGAAACCCAGGCUAAUACCGCAUACGUCCUACGGGAGAAAGCAGGGGAUCUUCGGACCUUGCGCUAUCGGAUGAGCCUAUGUCGGAUUAGCUUGUUGGUGAGGUAAUGGCUCACCAAGGCGACGAUCCGUAGCUGGUCUGAGAGGAUGAUCAGCCACAUCGGGACUGAGACACGGCCCGAACUCCUACGGGAGGCAGCAGUGGGGAAUAUUGGACAAUGGGCGAAAGCCUGAUCCAGCCAUGCCGCGUGUGUGAAGAAGGCUUUCGGGUUGUAAAGCACUUUCAGUGAGGAAGAACGCCUCGGGGCCAAUACCCCCGAGGAAAGACAUCACUCACAGAAGAAGCACCGGCUAACUCCGUGCCAGCAGCCGCGGUAAUACGGAGGGUGCAAGCGUUAAUCGGAAUUACUGGGCGUAAAGCGCGCGUAGGUGGCUUGAUAAGCCGGUUGUGAAAGCCCCGGGCUCAACCUGGGAACGGCAUCCGGAACUGUCAGGCUAGAGUGCAGGAGAGGAAGGUAGAAUUCCCGGUGUAGCGGUGAAAUGCGUAGAGAUCGGGAGGAAUACCAGUGGCGAAGGCGGCCUUCUGGACUGACACUGACACUGAGGUGCGAAAGCGUGGGUAGCAAACAGGAUUAGAUACCCUGGUAGUCCACGCCGUAAACGAUGUCGACUAGCCGUUGGGGUCC